GCCUACGGGGCGCAGCAGUGGGGAAUCUUGCGCAAUGGGCGAAAGCCUGACGCAGCAACGCCGCGUGGGGGAUGAAGCUUCUCGGAGUGUAAACCCCUUUCGACCCGGACGAAUGCCCGCAAGGGCUUGACGGUACGGGUAUAAGAAGCCCCGGCUAACUACGUGCCAGCAGCCGCGGUAAAACGUAGGGGGCCAGCGUUGCUCGGAAUUACUGGGCGUAAAGGGUCCGUAGGCGGUGCGGCAAGUCGGAAGUGAAAUCUCCGGGCUUAACCCGGAGGCUGCUCCCGAAACUGCCGUGCUAGAGGAUGAGAGAGGCAAGUGGAAUUGCGGGUGUAGCGGUGAAAUGCGUAGAUAUCCGCAGGAACAUCCGAGGCGAAAGCGGCUUGCUGGAUCAUUUCUGACGCUGAGGGACGAAAGCUAGGGGAGCAAACAGGAUUAGAUACCCCGGUAGU
rnacentral:rRNA from 1 species